UCCGAGCUGUUGUCAUCAAGUUUUGAUGUGUCACGGACGCUCCUCCUACGUCGAUGACGUAGCCAGGCGUCCUUCUCUGCUACGUCACUGCGCCUGCGGAAACGUCAGGAGAAGCCUGGAAGAAUCUUAAGCCAACUCAUGAUAUAUUUCCAAGUCAUAAUGUCAUGGAGUCAUGGCCAAAAUGACAAUGAAAGGGAAAUGGAGGAAAGGUUCAUUAUAGGCUGAGUUCGGUGAAUGAAUAAACUGAAAAGAGUCAAAGCAGGCAGCAGGGGGCGACACAGCACUGCUUCAGUGCCAGCAGAGAGGAGUCUUCAGCUUAAAGUGGAACUAAAAUCUGAAAGAAAUGCUAAAAGGAUGAGACUGUACAGGUGGAGCUAAUAUAGUAGUGGCAUAUAUAUACUGUAUAUAUAGGUACUGGCUAUUAUUCAUAAGCUCAUGUUCUGUGUAAAUGUCUACGUACAAAUAUCACAUUUUAUGAGGUUUAAAUCCAACAAAUGAUUCUCUUGUGUGCUUUUCCUGAUCGUCGAACAAGUGAUACCUCGAAUUUUUCCAUCCUUCUCCUUUUAAAUUCAAAUAAGCUUUAAUCUAACUGAAUCUGACUGAACAUUUAAUCAAGACGACUCUUCGUGAAGUGCGAUCCUAAGCGUGCCUUACAAACCUCUCCAUCGUCUGAUUGUCCCGCUGAAACAUGAUUGUAUCUUAAGCCGAGGCUCAUCCUGUGUCGUCCCUCUCCAGGAAAAACUUGAUGCAUUUCCAUAGCGCUUCCAGGCUUUCAGCUUGAUUUGCAAGGUGUCUAAGCGCUUCAGAUGGGUUUGUAGGUACAUUUAGCUGAGAAGGCCAGGAGCCCUCCUGUUCACAGCUUUACAUGUAGUCUUAGGUUUUAUGCCUCUGCUGGUUUCUUCACUGCAUGUUUUAGGAGGUGAAUUAGAAGUCAUCAUAAAUAAGCCUGGAAAUAUAACGCUCUUUCUAGUGAAUCGACAGCAGCUCUGAGAAAAUGAUCGUUAAAUGUUUGACACGCCACUUAAAAAAGUUGUGAUGUGCCCUCUAUCAUUUUAAAUAUUUCUCUCCAAAAGAGUCUUUGAAAGUAAUAUUAAGUAUUUGUAAAAGUGUGUGUAACUCAAUUUUAUUAAAAAGUGAGAUAGAACCACAUAAUUCCAGUAUCUCAAUUUGACAUGCAUUAUUUAAACUCAAGUCCAAUCAUCCAAUCUUUUGACAAUUUACCAAGAACAGAUCUUAGAUAGUGUGCUUGAAUUUAAGUUGAGGCUCUUAGAUGAGUGAGUGUAAUGCAGGGAAAUUGAGCUCAACAUCGUUUUAGAUGGUAACUGGGCUAAAUCUCUAGCAAACUAAUGGCUUAUAAUGUUAAUUUAUCAGAGCAGAGAACUUCUCAGUCUAAUGCCUCCGGGCUAAGUGGUGCCUUUACGGGUUUUACCAGCUGAUGGCAGCAGGAUUCUUCUGCCUGAAUGUGGAUGGAUGUGGAGCGUGUGACCACAGAGCAAACAGAGCCCGUUUAGUUAAAUGAUGGCUCUCCUCGUCCCUCACAGGUCAUCGCAAACGGCACAUAGGUACUGAGAGGAGAUCAGCAAAG